GCGAAGGUGGCGGAAUUGGUAGACGCGCUAGCUUCAGGUGUUAGUGUCCUUCCCUGGUGGGGGUUCAAGUCCCCCCCCUCGCA
rnacentral:tRNA from 2 species